rnacentral:rRNA from 1 species
GGACCCGCACAAGCAGUGGAACAUGUGGUUUAAUUCGAUAGUCCACGAAAACCUUACCAACUCUUGACAUCCCGAUUGCGAGAAAUGGAGACAUUUUUUUACAGUUAGGCUGAAUCGGAGACAGGUGAUGCAUGGCCGUCGUCAGCUCGUGCCGUGAGGUGUUAGGUUAAGUCCUUUAACGAGCGCAACCCCUUUCUUUAUUUGCCAACAGGUUAUGCUGGGAACUAUAAAGAUACUGCCAAUGAUAAAUUGGAGGAAGGUGGGGAUGAUGUCAGGUCAUCACGUCCCUUAUGAGUUGGGCAACACACAUGUUACAAUGGGAGUUACAAAAGGUUGCAAUGGAGUGAUCCGGAGCCAAUCCUUAAAAGCUCUCUCAGUUCAGAUUGCAGGCUGCAACUCGCCUGCAUGAAGAUGGAAUUGCUAGUAAUCGUGGAUCAGCACGCCA